GUGAUUUUAGAUAAGCCAAAUGACGUCAAAAUCGUCAUCAGGAAAAGUUAACUCUUUCCUGGAUAGGAAGGUUUCGUUAGACGAGACUGCCAUCUAUGGAUCAAAUACCUAAAUUGCGAUCCAUCGAUUGAAUCCACCUACGGCUUCCUAUUGGUUUAUCAACUAAUGACGUACAAAGAGUCUGGCCCUUUAAAAGUAAGGACAAAGGGA